rnacentral:rRNA from 1 species
UACGAAGGGGGCUAGCGUUGUUCGGAAUCACUGGGCGUAAAGCGCACGUAGGCGGAUCUUUAAGUCAGGGGUGAAAUCCCGAGGCUCAACCUCGGAACUGCCUUUGAUACUGGGGGAUCUCGAGUCCGGGAGAGGUGAGUGGAACUGCGAGUGUAGAGGUGAAAUUCGUAGAUAUUCGCAAGAACACCAGUGGCGAAGGCGGCUCACUGGCCCGGAACUGACGCUGAGGUGCGAAAGCGUGGGGGAGCAAACAGG